AAGACUGUGCUUCACAGGAUCAUUUCUGUAGGCAAGUUUUUUUUUCCGAAAGGAAAAGAUUUCCACCCACGAUGAGGAGACGCAGUGUCCAGCUUGGAGCGUGAAACUUGGUUGAGAUUUGGUCUAUCUGUUUCAGAUAGAUCGCUCUUCCGCAAGGUUUGGACGCAUUCCUAAG